CGGCGUGGAUUAGGCAUGCAAGUCGAACGGAACUUCUAGCUUUUUCGGAAGUUUAGUGGCGAAAGGGUGAGUAACACGUGGGUUACCUGCCCUAGGGUUCGGGAUAACCUGUCGAAAGACGGGCUAAUACCGGAUACGUCCUGCACUUUUCGAAGUGCAGGGGAAAGAUGGGGAUCCGUAAGGACCUAUCACCCUUGGAUGGGCCCGCGGCCUAUCAGCUAGUUGGUGAGGUAAUGGCUCACCAAGGCUAAGACGGGUAGCUGGUCUGAGAGGAUGGUCAGCCACACUGGAACUGAGACACUGUCCAGACACCUACGGGUGGCUGCAGUCGAGAAUCUUUCGCAAUGGGGGAAACCCUGACGACGCGACGCCGCGUGGAGGAUGAAGGCCUUCGGGUUGUAAACUCCUGUCAGCAGGGGAGAACAAGCUUUCGAUGAAUAAUUGAGAGCUUUGACAGUACCUGCAGAGGAAGCCACGGCUAACUCUGUGCCAGCAGCCGCGGUAAUACAGAGGUGGCAAGCGUUGUUCGGAUUUAUUGGGCGUAAAGGGUCCGUAGGCGGCCUGAAAAGUUGGAUGUGAAAUCCCACAGCUUAACUGUGGAACUGCAUUCAAAACUCUCGGGCUCGAGUG
rnacentral:rRNA from 1 species